rnacentral:rRNA from 1 species
UGGGGAAUAUUGCACAAUGGGCGCAAGCCUGAUGCAGCCAUGCCGCGUGUAUGAAGAAGGCCUUCGGGUUGUAAAGUACUUUCAGCGGGGAGGAAGGCGAUAAGGUUGAUAACCUUGUCGAUUGACGUUACCCGCAGAAGAAGCACCGGCUAACUCCGUGCCAGCAGCCGCGGUAAUACGGAGGGUGCAAGCGUUAAUCGGAAUUACUGGGCGUAAAGCGCACGCAGGCGGUCUGUCAAGUCGGAUGUGAAAUCCCCGGGCUCAACCUGGGAACUGCAUUCGAAACUGGCAGGCUAGAGUCUUGUAGAGGGGGGUAGAAUUCCAGGUGUAGCGGUGAAAUGCGUAGAGAUCUGGAGGAAUACCGGUGGCGAAGGCGGCCCCCUGGACAAAGACUGACGCUCAGGUGCGAAAGCGUGGGGAGCAAACA